rnacentral:lncRNA from 1 species
GAAACGAGAAAUUGAAGUGAGAAUCAAGGUCCUCGCACAUCGCAUUACGAACGAUAUAAACGAAGAAUCUUCCUUGGUGAUCAAAGUGUUACCUUCUUCUUCGAUUUGGGGAUUUCUGAUUUUUUUGGGUUUCCGUUGAGAAGUUAUGAAUUUUUAUUUCUUUGAGAAAACUGCCACUCGCACGUGUGUUAUCGGCACGUUCCCAACACGCGAUAUUGUGCUGUAAAUUUUACGGCCCAUUAUGAACGGCCCAAAUCUGUUUCGAACCGGACACUUUAAAGAACCAACAAAAUUGUCAUAAUUUUCAGUAAAUUAUCGGUGAUCCCGGGUUGAAUGGAUUUUUUUUUCAGUAAAGUGAAUAAUUUAAACCUAUAGAAUCAUUUUUAUCUAAAUAAAACCAACAAAAUUGACACAAAUUUAAUUAUUCGUAUAACCUAAUGUUUAUGCAAUUGAUUAAUUAUGAUAUGCAUGUAGCACAAACAACUGCAAAAAAACCUCAACUUGAGACUUGAGUGAUAUAACUAAAUAGUAGUAUAUCUUUAUUAUGCAAUCAUAUACAUUCUGACAUUCAUAUGAUAUUUCUUAAAAACUACUUUUUUUUUUUGGGCAA